rnacentral:rRNA from 1 species
UUCAGUUGAAUGAAGACCGUACCGUAAACCGACACAGGUGGGUAGGAUGAGAAUUCUAAGGCGCCUGAGAGUACUCAGGAGAAGGAACUCGGCAAAAUAGCACCGUAACUUCGGGAAAAGGUGUGCCCUUUGUAUGUGUAGCGCCUCGCGCGUGAAGCAGAAUAGGGUUGCAAUGAAAUGGUGGCUGCGACUGUUUAAUAAAAACAUAGCACUCUGCAAACACGAAAGUGGACGUAUAGAGUGUGACGCCUGCCCGGUGCCGGAAGGUUAAAUGAUGGGGUGCAAGCUCUUGAUUGAAGCCCCGGUAAACGGCGGCCGUAACAAUAACGGUCCUAAGGUAGCGGAAUUCCUUGUCGGGUAAGUUCCGACCUGCACGAAUGGCGUAACGAUGGCCACACUGUCUCCUCCUGGGACUCAGCGAAGUUGAAAUGUUUGUGAAGAUGCAAUCUCCCCGCGGCUAGACGGAAAGACCCCGUGCACCUUUACUGUAGCUUUACAUUGGACUUUGAUAACAUUUGUGUAGGAUAGGUGGGAGGCUUUGAAGUGGAUUCGCCAGAAUUCAUGGAGCCAACGUUGAAAUACCACCCUGAUGUUGUUGAGGUUCUAACCUAGAUCCAUUAUCUGGAUUGGGGACCGUGUAUGGUAGGCAGUUUGACUGGGGCGGUCUCCUCCCAAAUUGUAACGGAGGAGUACGAAGGUAUGCUAGGUACGGUCGGAAAUCGUGCUGAUAGUGCAAUGGCAAAAGCGUGCUUGACUGCGAGACUGACAAGUCGAGCAGAUGCGAAAGCAGGUCAUAGUGAUCCGGUGGUUCUGUAUGGAAGGGCCAUCGCUCAACGGAUAAAAGGUACUCUGGGGAUAACAGGCUGAUUCCGCCCAAGAGUUCAUAUCGACGGCGGAGUUUGGCACCUCGAUGUCGGCUCAUCACAUCCUGGGGCUGUAGCCGGUCCCAAGGGUAUGGCUGUUCGCCAUUUAAAGUGGUACGUGAGCUGGGUUUAAAACGUCGUGAGACAGUUUGGUCCCUAUCUGCCGUGGGCGCUGGAAAUUUGAGGGGGCCUGCUCCUAGUACGAGAGGACCGGAGUGGACGAACCUCUGGUGUACCGGUUGUCACGCCAGUGGCAUCGCCGGGUAGCUAAGUUCGGAAGAGAUAAACGCUGAAAGCAUCUAAGCGUGAAACUCGCCUCAAGAUGAGAUUUCCCGGGAGUUCAACUCCCCUGAAGGGUCGUCCAAGACCAGGACGUUGAUAGGUCAGGUGUGGAAGC